rnacentral:tRNA from 1 species
GGCCCCAUCGUCUAACGGCUAGGACAACGGAUUCUCAUUCCGUUAAUCGGAGUUCGACCCUCCGUGGGGUCACCA